rnacentral:rRNA from 1 species
UACGGGGGGGGCAAGCGUUGUUCGGAAUUACUGGGCGUAAAGGGCUCGUAGGCGGCCAACUAAGUCAGACGUGAAAUCCCUCGGCUUAACCGGGGAACUGCGUCUGAUACUGGAUGGCUUGAGUUCGGGAGAGGGAUGCGGAAUUCCAGGUGUAGCCGUGAAAUGCGUAGAUAUCUGGAGGAACACCGGUGGCGAAGGCGGCAUCCUGGACCGACACUGACGCUGAGGAGCGAAAGCCAGGGGAGCAAACGGG